GAGAGCUCUGUGCUGGGCUAGGAGCUAUAAAUGAAUCCAACACAAGAUAUUUAUUGAGCUCCUCCACUCUGUUGGACAUUGGAAUACAACAUUUAAAAGGAUAGUCCCUAUGUUCAGAAAGCUCAGAAUCCAGGGAUUGCGGGUAUGAGCGAUGAAAUGGAUUCAAAGAAAAAGAAAUUAACUCAGUCCUGGUAAACUCCUGCUGGGUACAGUUUUGCUUCCUUCUCCUGAGUAUAGGACUUCGUAUACAGCAAUUUAUCGUAAUCAUUAAUAGGAAGUUAAUAGUGCAAAGUUGGAGAAGAGAAGGGAGGAGAGGAGGGGGUGCCUGGGCUGGAAGCUGGCUGCUGGUCUGUGCACUGAAGGUCCAAGUUCAAAUAUGCUUGCAGGAAAGCUUCAGUUCAAUGCUCUCUCCUCAUACAAUGAAGCUGUUGUGUGUCCGGAGGCCGGGAGAAGGCAGCUGGAUUUCUAGAGCUCAAUGGCUAACAUCUUUUUGAUUCCUUUUGAUUGUUCUCUGUUGGAGACAUCACACAGGACACACUCAUUUCUACGUGAGUCUGGAGAGUAAAAUCCUGGCCACUCAUUGUUGUAAAGUCUCAGAAACAAGCAGCACAUUCCAAACAGGAGUUAUCGACCCUCAUUGGCACAUGUUCUCAGUGAUUGCUGAGCAAUAUGUGAAUAACACCUUUCAGUAAGACA